UACGGAGGAUGCAAGCGUUAUCCGGAAUGAUUGGGCGUAAAGGGUCCGCAGGUGGCAAUGUAAGUCUGCUGUCAAAGAAUGAGGCUUAACCUCAUCAAGGCAGUGGAAACUACAUAGCUAGAGUACGGUCGGGGUAGAAGGAAUUCCUGGUGUAGCGGUGAAAUGCGUAGAUAUCUGGAGGAACACCGGUGGCGAAGGCGGCAUCCUGGACCGAGAUUGACGCUGAGGCGCGAAAGCUAGGGUAGCAAACGGGG
rnacentral:rRNA from 1 species